rnacentral:rRNA from 1 species
AGUGAACGCUGGCGGUAGGCCUAACACAUGCAAGUCGAACGGCAGCACAGAGGAGCUUGCUCCUUGGGUGGCGAGUGGCGGACGGGUGAGGAAUACAUCGGAAUCUACUCUGUCGUGGGGGAUAACGUAGGGAAACUUACGCUAAUACCGCAUACGACCUACGGGUAAAAGCAGGGGAUCUUCGGACCUUGCGCGAUUGAAUGAGCCGAUGUCGGAUUAGCUAGUUGGCGGGGUAAAGGCCCACCAAGGCGACGAUCCGUAGCUGGUCUGAGAGGAUGAUCAGCCACACUGGAACUGAGACACGGUCCAGACUCCUACGGGAGGCAGCAGUGGGGAAUAUUGGACGAUGGGCGCAAGCCUGAUCCAGCCAUACCGCGUGGGUGAAGAAGGCCUUCGGGUUGUAAAGCCCUUUUGUUGGGAAAGAAAUCCAUCUGGUUAAUACCCGGGUGGGAUGACGGUACCCAAAGAAUAAGCACCGGCUAACUUCGCGCCAGCCGCCGCGGUAA